AUACGUAGGUGGCAAGCGUUGUCCGGAAUUAUUGGGCGUAAAGCGCAUGUAGGCGGUUUGGUAAGUCGGUCGUGAAAAUGCGGUGCUUAACGCCGUAUGGCGAUUGAAACUGCUGAACUUGAGUGCAGGAGAGGAAAGGGGAACUCCCAGUGUAGCGGUGAAAUGCGUAGAUAUUGGGAAGAACACCGGUGGCGAAGGCGCCUUGCUGGACUGUGUCUGACGCUCAGAUGCGAAAGCCAGGGUAGCGAACGGGAUUAGAUACCCCGGUAGUCCGGGCCGUAAACGAUGGGUACUAGGUGUGGGAGGUAUCGACUCCUUCCGUGCCGGAGUUAACGCAAUAAGUACCCCGCCUGGGGAGUACGGCCGCAAGGCUUAAACUCAAAUGAAUUGACGGGG
rnacentral:rRNA from 1 species